UAGGGAAUCUUCGGCAAUGGACGGAAGUCUGACCGAGCAACGCCGCGUGAGUGAAGAAGGUUUUCGGAUCGUAAAGCUCUGUUGUAAGAGAAGAACGAGUGUGAGAGUGGAAAGUUCACACUGUGACGGUAUCUUACCAGAAAGGGACGGCUAACUACGUGCCAGCAGCCGCGGUAAUACGUAGGUCCCGAGCGUUGUCCGGAUUUAUUGGGCGUAAAGCGAGCGCAGGCGGUUAGAUAAGUCUGAAGUUAAAGGCUGUGGCUUAACCAUAGUAGGCUUUGGAAACUGUUUAACUUGAGUGCAAGAGGGGAGAGUGGAAUUCCAUGUGUAGCGGUGAAAUGCGUAGAUAUAUGGAGGAACACCGGUGGCGAAAGCGGCUCUCUGGCUUGUANCUGACGCUGAGGCUCGAAAGCGUGGGGAGCAAACAGGAUUAGAUACCCUGGUAGUCCACGCUGUAAACGAUGAGUGCUAGGUGUUAGACCCUUUCCGGGGUUUAGUGCCGUAGCUAACGCAUUAAGCACUCCGCCUGGGGAGUACGACCGCAAGGUUG
rnacentral:rRNA from 1 species